rnacentral:lncRNA from 13 species
GUGGGUUAGGAGAGGCGACACAAUGCCCUUCUGGCCAGAAGGCAGAGAGAGCCUACUGAGGCUUCUAGAAAAGUGUCUCUUGCUCCUAAAAAUUUACAUCAAGAAGGGACAUCUUGGGCUGGGCGCGGUGGCUCACGCCUAUAAUCCCAGCACUUUGGGAGGCUGAGGCAGGUGGAUCAUCUGAGGUCAAGUGUUCGAAACCAGUCUCGCCAGCAUGGUGAAACCUGUCUCUACUAAAAAUACAAUAAAUUACCCAGGGCAUGGUGGCAGGCGCCUGUAAUCUCAGCUACUCAGGAGGCUGAGGCAGGGAAUUGCUUGAGCCUGGGAGGUAGAGGUUGUAGGGCGACAGAGCAAGACUCCGUCUCAAAAAAAAAAAAAAAAAGGACAUCUUGCUUUCUGCUCCUGAGCUGCGGAAGCAUCUCUGAGGACCAAUGCCAACCUGUAGCGGAUGGCAGGGAGAAAGAACUGACGGUGCCGGGGUCCUCGAUGGCAUUGUGGAGUUGCUGAAUUAACCACAGCAGGAGCUGCUCACCUCCUCCCCAAGCUCUUCUGAAGGAGGAGAAUACAUGUGCCUUACUGUUCAGCCAAUCCGAGUCAGGUUUUCUGUUCUCUGCAGCCAACAGUAUCUCUGCAGAACCUACGCAGGCAGGAGUCUUCUUUAAAUGGUAAAGCUCUGAACAAAUGUGAGUGCUGGUGUUAUUCCUUUAAGGGCCCUAGUUAGAACCUAAGCUGUGUCAGCCACGAGGGUCGGGAGGUGGCAAUGACGAGCAGGUGAAGCAGACGUGACACGCAUGUGCAGGGUGGGCAGAAGUGCCUCUUGGAGAGAACCAUAUCCUAGGCUUCUCACCCAGUAAAUGCCCAAGUCUUAGCUUCUGGAAGGAAAUGGGCUAGAACAUUGUGAAUGUUCUAGAACCUGUCACUUGGUUUCUUUAUUACCCCAGUUCCCAGGGAUUCACGGCUGGUCCCAGGGGGUGAACAGCAAGGCCCACCAUAAGAAAAUCCAGUUCAACCCUGGUGUCCAGCAGUUCUGCUUUGGAGCCCUCUGGCAGUGCAGGACCAGAGGAGGUGGGCCUGGAGGCUGGUCCAGAAGGGAGCUUGCACCCUCUCAGGCCCCAGCUCCUUCCUCCCAGCCUCGAUGGUCUCCGAGUACAAUGGCUAUCAAGGGAGACAGGACAGUUCCAAAGCCCAGGGAGGGAUCUGACCACUCAGGAGCUUUCAAGUGGAGUGAUUCUUACGGCAGGGAUUAGAAACUGUUGUAAUAUUUUUCUUAAUUGAUUGUUCUAAUUGCAAAUCAAUGGAACUAAUUUGCACCUGGUUGGGUUUGUUUUGUUGUGAGGUGAUGGGGGCCCCAAAGGACUCGCUGUGUGGAGGGAAAUUCAGGUGAGCUGAAAUCAAACAUACUUCAAACCGUCACUCGUGGACGGCCAGAGGAGCAGGGGCCGGGCACAGAGGGGCAGCUGGUUGCUCUCCUUUCCUGCACCAUCCAGCUCACCCAAGCUGGGCUACUACUGGGUGUGUAAGAGAAAAAAAAAACCCAAAACAUGAAAUAGCAGGUGGAAAGGGCUGGCUGCCAAGCUGCCCCCUCCAGUCCAAAGGGUUGUCUUCUCACCCAGAGUAGAAGCAGCCUUUUUCUCCAGAUUUCUCUCUGCAGCGAUAAAGCAGUCUGGGAAUUCAUUCAUCUAGGCAGUAUGUCUCAAACGCUUCCUGGGCCUUUGCUACGUGCCAGGCUCCAGAUCAUGGCUGGGGCUUCAAUAGUGGACAAGAGAGCUGUGGCCUCUGCGCUCAUGGAGACACUGGCAUUCAAUGGCUGAGGCAGGUGGGACGCAGCUGCCAAGAACUGAAGCCACUCUGGUUAUUCAUGCAGAAAGGGGUUCAUCACAGAGUGAUCAAUGGCCUUCAGAAUCACAGGGAGGUCUGGAGGAAAG